rnacentral:misc_RNA from 1 species
UCGUAACCUCCGGCAUGGAACGCACGCGAGGUAGCGAUGGUCGCAAGCAAUGUCACAGGCACACGCUUCGCCGCAAAGAUCCUCCGCAAUUCUGCCGCGGCCUCCUGCGUCGAUAGCCCCAGCUCGUGGCGAUCCAACAAGUAGCAGAUGUCGAAGAAGUCCUUGGGCGCGGAACACCCGGGUGGCUCCUGACACUGGAUCGAUAGUCGGCGUCCUGUUGGCAGAUCGCCCUGAGCUUCUCGAACACGAGCAUCCGCGGCGAGUAGACGUGGACUACGUGUCCAUCAAUCUCCACCUCGCCUUGCCCGUCGCAGUACUCCCGUCGACUGAUCUCGACCUGAAAGGUACGGACGGAACCCGGCGCCACGGGCACGGCAUUCCUGCGCCACGCUGCCAGGUCGCCCCCCAACCUCCGUGCGAGCUCUGCGGGGAUCACCUUGAACUCCAGCAGAUACCCUCCCAGAACGCGCGGCGCUCCUGAUCGCACUCCUCGGGUUCCUCCCGCAAUCGAACGUCAAAGGCCAGGAUCGAGGCCUCACCCAGAACGCGCUCCAGCACUCGGGCAAACCUCAACUGAAGCGCGGGUAGCUCCCCUUCCU